UCCUGGGGCGGUAUACACAAAAGUUCUUAGCAUCGCUAAGUGCACUUAACGGCAAAGAAUCGUUAAGUUUUCUACUUAAAAUGGCGCUGGGCCGCUUAGCGCUGAAGCUGGAGCACUUAGCGGGCGGAAAAUUUAAGGCGGGAAGGGGCCCUUAGCACCGUUAAAAAUGCAUAAGUAUUGCAACAUGGUGGAUUACAGCGGGAUGAAAGGCAUCACCUCCUAAUAUAUCUGCCUCGUCUAGACGAAUUGGAGGCGUGUAAUGAUUUGAAACUCAUCCUGAAAUAUCUGUGGACUGUGCUGACCGUGCUGAGAUGAGUGGUUCGGCGAGGCGGACCUUGGAAACACCUACAUGGCCAUCACGACUGAAGUGGUGUUCGCUGACAGGUAAAAUGCAGGUGCAACCUUCACAGGCUGACAGAGAUUGAGUGAUAACAGACACUGGAGACCCUCCAAGCGAUGGCUGGUGACCGCCUGCCACCAUCCACAGGCUGUCACAAGGAGCCCUGGGAGUAACCUUGCUGGAAGCCCCGCGGGCCGCAGUGUGUGGCUGUCGUUAUACAGCCCCCAGCCAUCGCCUGGAGGGCAUCCAGUGUCUGUUAUCACUCACCUUAGGUAGUCUGUGAAGGUCCAGUCAUCACUGGUGCACGUGUAUCUUACCUGUGAUCAACACCGGCAGCCACAGACUCCUGCCCAAAGAACGAACACAGUGAUCAUGAUGACAUUGACAACAACGAGCAAGUCCUCCUAGACCUAGAGUGACCUCAAGCUGGGCCAAACAUGAUGUGGAAGAAGAAAUCAGUUGUCUCCAUCAGUCGGGUUUGUGCCAUGGCAGCUUUCUCCAGCUGUCCGGCAGAGGUCCAGUCCAUGCCAUGGAGAAAUUCAGCCCCCAACAAUGAGAUGGCAUGCCAGAGAUGGAUCCGCAGCUUCUCCUCCAAUCAGUCAAUCCUUGCAAUGCCCUUUCUCUUUUCUUCUGUACCACCAUGCUUACACAUAACUGAUCCAAGGUACUUAAACUCGUUAACCUCCUCCAUUUCUUCACCAUUCAAAAUUAUUUGGCAUUCUUUUUCACAUUCAAUGCCCACUCUAUAUGGGCAUACAAACUCUACAACCUCCCUUCUACUCCGCUCACAAACCAUCACUUUACUUUUGUUGACAUUUACUUUCAACUUUCUCCUUUUACAUACACUAUCAAAAACACUGACCAAAUUUUGUAAGUCACUUUCAUUUUCUGCAUUGAGCACUGUGUCAUCAGCAAAUAAGAUUGAAUUCAUCACCCACUUCCCUCCCUCCCUCAGCAUACAUUUUUACUUCAAUUUCCCCAACUUUGCCCUUCAUUUCUCAUAACACCAUCCAUAUAAAUAUUGAACAACCAUGAUGACAUAUAUAUCUUUAAGACGUCCCACAAUGCCAGCCAAUCGACUCUGUCAUAAACUUUCUUUAGAAUAACUAGAUCCAUGAAGGCAGCAUAGUAUUUUUUCCUUUUGCUAAUAUUUUUUCUAAUAAAACACCAUACUGAAGGAAAAUAUCUGAUCCACACAUCCUCUUCCCUUCCUAAAGUCUCCUUGUUCUUCACUGAUUUUCUCUUCUGUAAGUCUUUGCGCAGUCUCAAUUAGGACUUUUCCAUAUACCUUUCCAGGUAGCCUACACUCAGCAGACUUAUACCCCUACAACUCCCACUUCCCCUCUCCUGCCCUUCCCCUUGUAAACUGGGACCAUGAUGGCUUUUGUCAAGUCUGCUGGGACCUCCCCCCCCCCUUCCCAGGCCACUUCACAUAUCUUGACCAUUCAUAUAGUAACUUCAUCUCCACACUUCAACAUUUCUGCUGUGAUUCCUCUCAAUUCAUUCAUCAUCAUCAUCCCAUCAAUGCCUGCUCUUAGGAGCUCCCACCAGGGAUGGCCACGGCAGAAG